rnacentral:tRNA from 1 species
AAGGGAGACCUAAUUCCGGUAGGAGACGAAAAAAAAGUAGUCCCAACCAAGAAUCAAUCCCAAAAGGUCGGAACGAGGUAUGAGGCUUUCAAACUAGGUUCUGGGUUCAUAAAAGACCUGAAUCAGGAACAAGGGCUAUUAGCUCAGGUGGUUAGAGCGCACCCCUGAUAAGGGUGAGGUCCCUGGUUCGAGUCCAGGAUGGCCCACCUGCACAGGUGGCAAAAACAAGAGAAGCUCCGAAUCAGCACCUUAUCUUAUAUACAUAUAUAAGAGAGAGUGCUGGCUCUGAGUACAGAGUCCAGAGGAACCUUGAAAACUGCAUAGAGCUAGGUGAAAAAGCCAAAAAAGAAGACCGCAA